UACGAAGGGGGCUAGCGUUGUUCGGAAUUACUGGGCGUAAAGGGCGCGUAGGCGGCCCUGUCAGUCAGGCGUGAAAGCCCCGGGCUCAACCUGGGAACUGCGCUUGAUACUGCAGGGCUUGAGUUCCGGAGAGGAUGGUGGAAUUCCCAGUGUAGAGGUGAAAUUCGUAGAUAUUGGGAAGAACACCAGUGGCGAAGGCGGUUCUCUGGGCAUUACCUGACGCUGAGGCGCGAAAGCGUGGGUAGCAAACAGG
rnacentral:rRNA from 1 species